CCUACGGGAGGCAGCAGUGAGGAAUAUUGGUCAAUGGGCGAGAGCCUGAACCAGCCAAGUCGCGUGAGGGAGUACUGCCCUAUGGGUUGUAAACCUCUUUUGUCGGGGAGCAAAAGCCGGACGUGUCCGGCUGUGAGAGUACCCGAAGAAAAAGCAUCGGCUAACUCCGUGCCAGCAGCCGCGUUAAUACGGAGGAUGCGAGCGUUAUACGGAUUUAUUGGGUUUAAAGGGUGCGGAGGCGGAUUUUUAAGUCAGCGGUAAAAUCGUGGGGCUCAACCCCAUCCAGCCGUUGAACCUGGGGAUCUAGAGUGUGCGAGAGGUAUGCGGAAUGCGUGGUGUAGCGGUGAAAUGCAUAGAUAUCACGCAGAACCCCGAUUGCGAAGGCAGCAUACCGGUGCACAACUGACGCUCAGGCACGAAAGCGUGGGUAUCGAACAGGAUUAGAUACCCCUGUAGUC
rnacentral:rRNA from 1 species